rnacentral:rRNA from 1 species
AGAGUUUGAUCAUGGCUCACGAUGAACGCUGGCGGCGUGCCUAACACAUGCAAGUCUAACGAAACACUUAUUUACGAUCCCUUCGGGGUGACGAUUUUGUGACUUAGUGGCGGACGGGUGAGUAACGCGUGGGUAACCUGCCCUGUACUGGGGGACAACAGUUGGAAACGGCUGCUAAUACCGCAUAAGCGCACGAUAUCGCAUGGUAUUGUGUGAAAAACUCCGGUGGUACAGGAUGGACCCGCGUCUGAUUAGCUAGUUGGUGGGGUAACGGCCUACCAAGGCGACGAUCAGUAGCCGGGCUGAGAGGGUGAACGGCCACAUUGGGACUGAGACACGGCCCAUACUCCUACGGGAGGCAGCAGUGGGGAAUAUUGCACAAUGGGGGAAACCCUGAUGCAGCGACGCCGCGUGAAUGAUGAACUAUUUCGGUAUGUAAAGCUCUAUCAGCAGGGAAGAAAAUGACGGUACCUGACUAAAAAGGCACCGGCUAAAUACGUGCCAGCAGCCGCGGUAAUACGUAUGGUGCAAGCGUUAUCCGGAUUUACUGGGCGUAAAGGGAGCGUAGGCGGCAUGGCAAGUCAGAUGUGAAAUCCCGAGGCUCCAACCCCGGCACUGCAUUUGAAACUGUCUACGCUAGAGUACCGGAGAGAUAAGUGGAAUCUCUAGUGUACGCGCGUGAAAUGCGUAGAUAUUAGGAGGAACACCAGUGGCGAAGGCGGCUUUACUGNACGGUAACUGNCGCUGAGGCUCGAAAGCGUGGGGAGCNAACAGGGAUUANAUACCCUGGUAGUCCNCGCCGCGANAANCNAUGAAUACUAGGNGUCGGGUGGNNUAGCCAUUCGUUGCCGCAGCUAACGCAAUAAGUAUUCCACAUGGGGAGUACGUUCGCAAGAAUGAAACUCAAAGGAAUUGACGGGGACCCGCACAAGCGGUGGAGCAUGUGGUUUAAUUCGAAGCAACGCGAAGAACCUUACCAAGUCUUGACAUCUCCUUGACGUAGUAUGUAAUGUACUAUCUCUUCGGAGCAAGGAUGACAGGUGGUGCAUGGUUGUCGUCAGCUCGUGUCGUGAGAUGUUGGGUUAAGUCCCGCAACGAGCGCAACCCUGGUCCUUAGUAGCCAGCAGUUCGGCUGGGCACUCUAGGGAGACUGCCGGGGAUAACCCGGAGGAAGGCGGGGAUGACGUCAAAUCAUCAUGCCCUUUAUGACUUGGGCUACACACGUGCUACAAUGGCGACUACAAAGAGAAGCGAAGGAGUGAUCCGGAGCAAAUCUCAAAAAGGUCGUCCCAGUUCGGAUUGUAGUCUGCAACUCGACUACAUGAAGCCGGAAUCGCUAGUAAUCGCGAAUCAGAAUGUCGCGGUGAAUACGUUCCCGGGUCUUGUACACACCGCCCGUCACACCAUGGGAGCCGGAAAUGCCCGAAGUCUGUGACCCAACCGCAAGGAGGGAGCAGCCGAAGGUGGAGCUGGUAACUGGGGUGAAGUCGUAACAAGGUAGCCGUA